CUUGGUCAUUUAGAGGAAGUAAAAGUCAUAACAAGGUUUCCGUAGGUGAACCUGCGGAAGGAUCAUUAAUAGUGCCCAUUGAUGCAAAUCAUUGGGUUAGAUCUGCCCUUAUCGCAAGAUGAGGGCUUCCAUAUACACCGUGAACCGUGGCUUCGGCCAUCACAAACUGUUAGUAAUGAAUGUAAUAUCAUAACAAAAACAAAACUUUUAACAACGGAUCUCUUGGCUCUCGCAUCGAUGAAGAACGCAGCGAAAUGCGAUAAGUAAUGUGAAUUGCAGAAUUCAGUGAAUCAUCGAAUCUUUGAACGCACCUUGCGCCCUUUGGUAUUCCGAAGGGCAUGCCUGUUUGAGUGUCAUGAAACCUCACCCCACUUAGGUUUUUGCCUAAGCGGUGGUGUAUUGGGUGUUUGCCUUGCUAAAGGCUCGCCUUAAAGAUAUAAGCACCUUGGAUGUAAUACGUUUCAUCCUUCUGGGUGGCUGAUAACCCCACAUAUUCAUGAUCUGGCCUCAAAUCAGGUAGGGCUACCCGCUGAACUUAAGCAUAUCAAUAAGCGGAGGAAAAGAAACUAACUAGGAUUCCCUUAGUAACGGCGAGUGAACCGGGAUGAGCUCAAAUUUAAAAUCUGGCGUCUUUCAGGCGUCCGAGUUGUAAUCUAUAGAGGCGUUUUCCGCGCCGGACCGCGUCCAAGUCUCUUGGAAUAGAGUAUCAAAGAGGGUGACAAUCCCGUACUUGACGCGACAACCGGUGCUCUGUGAUACGUUCUCAAUGAGUCGAGUUGUUUGGGAAU
rnacentral:sRNA from 1 species